AGCCUCUCUUUAGAACUGGGAGCUUCCCAGCUAGCUUGCUGCAGCGAGGUGUUUUUCGGCUAAAAGGCGCCCCCUGGGUCCUAAGCCUCCUAUGCCAUGCAAGAUCACUAACCCUGAGUCAAGAGGAAAUCAGCCAAGUCGAGAGACAGAGAAAUUCAGGUUGUGCUUAGCAGUGGAUUAGUUUGAGACCUGCACUGGCUGCAUGCCCAGGGGUUUUCAUCUGUUCUGUUUCCAUUUGUGUGAGUACAGAAAGAGUAAUUCUGUUAAGAGGCAACAUUGCAGGAAGGGAGUUUAGAAUUAUAGUCACUAAGGCUGGACAACUUAGGACAAACUACACAAGACCACGGAGUGGGAUGCAAAUAACAGUAUCCAGACUCUGUGAUAGUCAAAUGGAGAGAGAAGGAAAAAAGAAUCCCACACAAGAUCAUGGAGUGAUUGUGGCUGGAAAGAAAUGCAAGGACAAAAGAAAUCAACAUCUUAUCACUAUGAAGCCCAGCCCUAAGAUCUGACCGUUGCCCUUCUCACCCUCUGUGAAGUCCAGAUAACAGAAGUGAGCAGUGUUAUGGGAGGUAUCACAAAUGGACUCAGAUUGGUCCCAGCAUGGCAAGACCCUGAGUUCAAUAAUAGAAGGUUAAGUACCAGCUUCAAACACUCAGUGUGUUCUCUGAGUUCCCAAUGAUAUUUCUACCUGGAGCUUUCUUCUAUAUUUACGUUAAUGGCUCAGUUGGAAGUCAGCCAUCACUGCUAAGCGUUCUUCAGUUUUUUGCAGUAUUGCCGGCAGCUUCUUUAUUAUCCUGACAUUAGAAAUAAGAAAUUCUGCCCCAUUGCAGCCGGGUUGUUGCUGCUCAGGCAAUGGUGGAACAUUUCUACUUUCUAGGGUCUUGUCCUUUCCCACACUGAGUGGCCUAACCUUUUGUCACCUUCACAAGUCAUCAUAUUUAUGAGGAAGCCUUCCAUUUCUAGAGUGGCUCGGCCAUCAGCCAGAAACAUGCUUUUGCUCUGAGUUACUGAUCUCUUAGAUAUAGGAGGAAAAUCUCCAAUAAACAUUAAAUUGUUAAUAUAUAUAAAGCAUUUAGAAGAGUGCCUCAUACAUAUUAAGAACUUCUGCUAUUAUUGUUGUUGUUGUUACUGCCACCAUCUAGGAUCAGAAGCUAGAGCCUAGCCAACCCUCUGAUGUUGCUCUUAUUAUGCUGGUUAAACAAAUCCAAAUUAUCUGGAAAUAGGGUUGAAAAUAUUUGGUUUCCUCUCAAUUUUGUGACCAUCAUCAGCUCAACGAAUCUUACAAAGGUCAAAGUGUUGUCACUUUAAUAUUUUUACUUGUUAGAGCUUUGAUAUUCCCUCUCUGGAUUCCUAAGAGACUCUAGUCCUGACUUGACAGGGGAUGGAUAAUCCAGCAAUCUCAGCAUAGGAUAAUGUAUAUUUUGUCCAUCCAUGAGUGUUUACCAAACAACUUAACAUGGGACAGCUAUAAACAUUAUAGCUAACAUUUAAUGAAUAUUUAGUAUGUACCAGAUACUGUUCUAAAUGCUUUUAUACAUAGUAUCUCAUCUAUUUUUCAUACAAACCCUAUGUAUAAGCACUAUUAUUAUUAUUUUGUAAAUGAAGAAACAUUCAUAAAGAGGUUAAGUAAUUUAUCUAAAGCCACAAAGAUAAUACAUGGAAGAGCCAGGAUAUGUACUUAGGCAGUCCAAUCCCAUAGCCUGUGCUAAUAACCACUUCACUGUACUGACAGAGAGAACUCUGGAUUUGAGAGGCAGAAGUCUAAUUCUGAUCUAACCCCUCCACUUCUUCACUUAAAUUGAAUGAUCUUAAGAAAGUUACCCAACCUUUCUGAACCUGUCUAGGCAUCUGUAAAAUGGGGAUGGUAAUUAAUAUAUAGUUCAUAGGAUGGUUGUGAAGCUUGUUAUGUGCCUUGCACUUAUUAGGCAUUCAGUAAAUGUUAGUUUCUUUUCUUCCUACUCUAUUCUAAGCAUUACACUGGUGGGCAAGAUGGAAUAGGAAAGCUGUAUCUCCUUGGGGACCUAGUGUGGGGUGGAAAGGGAAGAGGGAAGAAGAUGACAAACAUGGGACCAAACCAUUAUAAUAUAGUAUAAGAAAUGCCACUGUAGAGGAGCAUACAGUUGAGAGGUUUGGAGAAAAUAACAUUUUCUGAGAUGGGGCAGGGAGAAGUUGGAGAACUUUCAAGGUGCCAGUGACGUUUGUUUUGGAUAUUGAAAGACAAAAUAGGAUUGGAUGAGGUAGACAGAGGGCACAAGUUUGCAGGCAGAGCACAGGUGCUGAAGUAUUGAAGAGCUUGGCAGUCUGUUCAGGUAAUGCCUAGAGGUGUGGUAUGCAGUUGAGGAUUGAGGAUGAGACAGGAACUGAUGGAGACGAAUGAGUUGCAAGGAGAGGGGCACAUGAGCCUUCAAAUGUCAGUAUGUCCCUGCACCAUUAAGACUUAGACACAUUUACAAACGAAACGUAAUGAACUUAAGUAAAUUUAGUAACAAAAAAAACUUAUGAAUGCUCUAUUUUUUAUUGAGCUAUAAUUCACAUACCAUAAGAUUUACCAUUUUACAGUGUACAAAUCAGCAGUUUUUAGUAUAUUCACAAAAUUGUGCAACCAUCACCACUAUCUAAUUUUAGAACAUUUUCAUCACCUCAAAAAAACCCCUAACACCUAUUAGCCGUUACUCCCCAUCCUCUAGCAACCCUUGAUCUACUUACUUUCUGUUUCUAUGAAUUUAGAGAUUUUGGACAUUGAUAUUUUCAUAUCAAUGGAGUCAUACAACAUUUGACUUUUUGUGUCUGGCUUCUUUUAUUGUGCACAAUGUUUUCAAGAUUCAUCUGUUAUAGCACGUAUCAGUAUUUCAUUCCUUUGUAUAACUGAAUAAUAUCCCUUUGCAUGGUUAUACUA